UGUCUAUCCUUUGCAGAUUUAAAGAUGGACUGGAAAGUCUGAAUUUUUUAAGUGCACUGCAACAACAUUCCAGUGUGCUGGCCCCACUCCUAUGCUUCUCUGCCAAGGCCCUGACUGCUUCAGAACUGGAGAGCAUGUUCAGACCAGAUCUCAGCCCAGCAGGAAGCAACAAGCGGCAUAAGGAGGUCCUAACACUUGGCUUUUGGGCAGAUUAUCUCGAUUGUGAAGAGAAGGCAACAGCAGUGUGUCUGGAAGAUUUGAUGAUGUUUGCCACAGGGCUGACGGCAGUUCCACCGGCAGGAAUGACACCACCACCAUGCAUCCAGUUUUUAAGUGAUUCGCCUUUUCCAGUUGCAAACACCUGUGCAAAUACUCUGAAGCUAUCCAUCUGUGACUCAUACAGCAUCUUUAAGGCCAACAUGGACUUUGGAAUUCAAAAUGCUCCAGGAUUUGGAUGUUCUUAAAUCAGCAAGGUCAUCAAGUUACAGUUACUGAGUUACCCUGUUAGGUUCAGCUGCCGUUGGCACACUACUUAACACAUUCAUGUGACAAGCAACUUCCAUAUUGUUAAACAUUUAGUUGUUUUAGUUGUUUUUUCUGAAUAUUGUGUAUGUUGGAAAAGUGACAGAAAUGCUGGACACUGUUUGUAAAUGGUUUUAUUAAAGAAAAUUUUAAAUG